rnacentral:rRNA from 1 species
AUUGAACGCUGGCGGCAUGCCUUACACAUGCAAGUCGAACGGCAGCGGGCCCUUCGGGGUGCCGGCGAGUGGCGAACGGGUGAGUAAUGCAUCGGAACGUACCCGGGAGAGGGGGAUAACCGGCCGAAAGGCUGGCUAAUACCGCAUGAACUCGGAAGAGCAAAGCGGGGGACCUUCGGGCCUCGCGCUCUCGGAGCGGCCGAUGUCCGAUUAGGCUAGUUGGUGGGGUAAAGGCCCACCAAGGCGACGAUCGGUAGCGGGUGUGAGGGGACGGUCCGCCACACUGGGAGUGAGCCGCGGCCCAGACUACUACGGGAGGCAGCAGUGGGGAAUCUUGGACAAUGGGCGCAAGCCUGAUCCAGCAAUGCCGCGUGGGUGAAGAAGGCCUUCGGGUUGUAAAGCCCUUUCGGCGGGGAAGAAAUCGGUCAGGCGAAUAGUCUGGCCGGAUGACGGUACCCGCAGAAGAAGCACCGGCUAACUACGUG